ACCUGGCUGGCUCAGCUGGUGGAGCUUGUGACUCUUGAUCUCAGGGUUGUGAGUUUAAGCCCCACAUUGGGUA
rnacentral:tRNA from 1 species